GUUCAGGACCAGACCCCGGUUCUUCGUUACAUUUGGAUCGAAAAGAUUCAACGACUCAUUGGUAGGGUUAUGCCCCUAUGAAAAUUAACCGGUGUCGGUUGGCCACCAAAACUCAGAAACCGUAAGUCGUAGACACCUAGGAUCUUCACCAUUCAUCAUCAAUUCAUGUGACUUUGAAAAAUACCUCAAGGUCAAAUGUGUAUGUUGACCUUGACCUUUGACCUAACACCUUGUUAUGGGAUAAUCUCAGCAACC
rnacentral:lncRNA from 1 species